rnacentral:tRNA from 1 species
UUAAUAGAAGCCAAACUAGCGGCUAUUCACUGUUAAUGAAUUUAUUGAUUAAGAUCUUUAAUCCUAUUAAA